AGCAGCCGCGGUAAUUCCAGCUCCAAUAGCGUAUAUUAGAGUUGUUGCAGUUAAAAAGCUCGUAGUUGAAUUUCGGGAUCAAUUUGCUGGUCGUGCCUUCGGUACGCACUGGUAUUAUUGGUUUCUCCUCUCUGAUGAAUCGCGAUGUCAUUAAUUUGGUGUCGUGGGGAAUCAGGACUGUUACUUUGAAAAAAUUAGAGUGUUUAAAGCAGGCUCACGCUUGAAUACAUUAGCAUGGAAUAAUGAAAUAGGACGUUUGAUUCUAUUUUGUUGGUUUCUAGGAUCGACGUAAUGAUUAAUAGGGAUAGUUGGGGGCAUUAGUAUUCAAUUGUCAGAGAUGAAAUUCUUGGAUUUAUUGAAGACUAACUACUGCGAAAGCAUUUGCCAAGGAUGUUUUCUAUUAAUCAAGAACGAAAGUUAGGGGAUCGAAGACGAUCAGAUACCGUCGUAGUCUUAACCAUAAACUAUGCCGACUAGGGAUCGGAUGAUGUUAAUUUUUAAUUGACUC
rnacentral:rRNA from 1 species